CAAGUAGCCUCCCUGGGCGUGUGGUUCUGCCACACGACCUUUACAAAUGGUAUUUCCCGGUUGCGGAGUAUUCUACUCUUUCGGUCCGUGAUACCGACUGGUACUUCUUCAUAAGACAAGUCCUCUUGGAGUGGAAGCGGUUCAUGAGCCAAGACAUGAGAAGGGUCCAGGUUGUACUUACGUAGCAUGGAUACGUAGAACACGUUGUGGACUCUGGAGAGCUUUGGAGGCAGUGCUAGUCUGUAGGCAGCAGUACCAAUC
rnacentral:lncRNA from 1 species